GAGGGUGCAAGCGUUAAUCGGAAUUACUGGGCGUAAAGCGCGCGUAGGCGGCUGAUUAAGUCGGGUGUGAAAGCCCCGGGCUCAACCUGGGAAUUGCAUCCGAUACUGAUUGGCUAGAGUAUGAGAGAGGGAGGUAGAAUUCCACGUGUAGCGGUGAAAUGCGUAGAUAUGUGGAGGAAUACCGGUGGCGAAGGCGGCCUCCUGGCUUAAUACUGACGCUGAGGUGCGAAAGCGUGGGGAUCAAACAGGAUUAGAUACCCUGGUAGUCCACGCCGUAAACGAUGUCAACUAGCCGUUGGGCACCUUAGUGUGCUUGGUGGCGCAGCUAACGCGAUAAGUUGACCGCCUGGGGAGUACGGUCGCAAGAUUA
rnacentral:rRNA from 1 species